UCUUUUUGUGUCCUCCUUUUUUUAUUGAUUCAGAAACAUAGCCACACACAGAAUUGUACACUAGAGUAUCCAAGAUAAUAAAGAUUAGUAUGUUUAUAGCCAGGUUUAGAUUGUAACAAACAUUCUUCGCUCACAUUAACAAUAAUCUUCAAGGGACUGAAACUGAGCAGUUUAGUUCAGAACCAAAGGAAUGCAAGAUCAAAGCAUUGAUUUAAUUAUAGAUUCACUGAUAUGUUUUUCUCCCCAUUACAACUGUUAUGAUCAGGUUGAUCAGUGUGUGUGUGGAUUUAUUGUAGACGUCAUUCCUUCUUGAACUAUACUAUAUGCUACUCAGCACCAAAAGACAAUAACCUGAACAGUCUACUAAAAAACUGAAUUUAAAAUAUUAACAGGUAUGAACAAAAGACAAGCUCAUUAAUGGACACUAAGAACUUAAAAAAAAAAAGAUAUGUUUGAAACAUGACAGCACACAUUAAAACACACUGCUGAGUCUUAAAGAAAAUAUAUAGUUCACAAAUAGUUUGUGAAUCAGCACACAGUAAAGUAUUCAACUACUUGAAAUCAGAUUAUUUUUCAUGUUACAGUCAGAGUCAACAUUUUCUCAUCUUUUUAGUCUCUUCAGAAAGAAACAACUCGUCUGCCACCGAACAAGUAUCUACUUUAACACAACGCUUGGGCUCAAGAUGCAUUUGGUUACUCAUCCUGCCAAUUCACAGCUCU